rnacentral:rRNA from 1 species
UGGGGAAUAUUGCGCAAUGGGCGAAAGCCUGACGCAGCCAUGCCGCGUGUGUGAAGAAGGCUUUCGGGUUGUAAAGCACUUUCAAUGGUGAGGAAGGCUGUAAGGUUAAUAACCUUGCAGAUUGACGUUAACCAUAGAAGAAGCACCGGCUAACUCCGUGCCAGCAGCCGCGGUAAUACGGAGGGUGCAAGCGUUAAUCGGAAUUACUGGGCGUAAAGCGCGCGUAGGCGGCUUGGUCAGUUGGGUGUGAAAGCCCCGGGCUUAACCUGGGAACUGCAUCCAAUACUGCCAAGCUUGAGUAUGGUAGAGGUGAGUGGAAUUUCAGGUGUAGCGGUGAAAUGCGUAGAUAU